rnacentral:rRNA from 1 species
UACGAAGGGGGCUAGCGUUGCUCGGAAUCACUGGGCGUAAAGGGUGCGUAGGCGGGUCUUUAAGUCAGGGGUGAAAUCCUGGAGCUCAACUCCAGAACUGCCUUUGAUACUGAGGAUCUUGAGUCCGGGAGAGGUGAGUGGAACUGCGAGUGUAGAGGUGAAAUUCGUAGAUAUUCGCAAGAACACCAGUGGCGAAGGCGGCUCACUGGCCCGGAACUGACGCUGAGGCGCGAAAGCGUGGGGAGCAAACAGG